GAUCGAGCCCCGGGAAUGGCCCCGAUCGAGCCCCGGGAGCGGCCCCGCUGCGGCCGCUGUCCCGGGCUCCUGCCGGUCCGUGUCGGCAGCAGGGGCCGAGUCGCUCCCCCCGAAAGAGGACAGGAAAAAAUCAUUUAAUUCAGCCCAGCGAUGUCAAAUGCUUUGGUGUUUGAGCAGCCAAACUCAAGAGCCUCCAGACCCAUGAGCCUGCAUUGGAGGAAAAUCCACUGGAGCAGCCAACACUACUUCACCUCCAUGGACAACCCUCUGGGUCUGGGCAAAUGCAGCCUCUGAGGGAGGGCAAAAAGAGCAGGACCUCGGCCUGUGAGUGUCUGAGAAAUAAGGGAGAGACAAAUGUACGGAUCAUCCUCUGCCUCAGGGGACCAGGAAAAGCCAGUGACUAAAAAACUAAAAUGCUGCUCCACAGGGAGCCCCUGCACAGGACUGAACUUUAUUCUGUGCUUCCUGUCAGUUCCCAAUGAGCCCAAGUCUGCAGUCUGGGUCAUGCAGGACUUGAGGUAUCAAGUACAAACUCUGAGGAUGUUUGUGAAUUAAGGUGGUAGAACUUAAAGUGUAUUGUUUACUUUUUAAUUCCUCAGAAUUUCCAUGGUAUUUGAUAUUAAAUACCUCAGAGGGGUCUAUCAUCCUUGGGGAUGGGAGAGUUCUGGCUGCAGUUCCCAUCUCCCUGCAGGCCAAAGCUUGGUGUUCCCUGUGCUCCAAAGGUGGUGGAUGGAAAGGUUGGAAAUGCUGUUGGCACAGGCCCUGCUCAGCCUGGGCUGUGACUUUCCAUCUUUCCAGCUCUUCUGUCCCUUCCCUUGGAUUUUCCUAGGAGCUGUGAUGUGCCACGGGCAGCCGAGAUGGCCAAUGCCUCCCUUAGUCCCAGAGUCCCCAGGAUGGAACACAGAGAAAAUAGCAGGAAUAUGAAAAUUUCAUGCACUGAGAGUUUGUGGUGCUCUGGAUCAAAUCUUGGAUUUAUAAUGUUAAAGGAGAGGGUGGGGUUGGGCAGCACUUGGCUGUUUUGGGGCUUCUCUCUCUGCCUCCUUGUCAUUAUUGUUCUUAUCACUGCUAUUGUUACUAUUGUUAGUGUUAUGUAUUAUCAUGAAUAUUAAAUUAUUGUAUUUUUCUUGGUUUCCAUCAUUAAACUAUUCUGAUCUCUCCCGA